ACGAGUGGCGAACGGGUGAGUAACACGUGGGUGAUCUGCCCUGCUCUUUGGGAUAAGCCUGGGAAACUGGGUCUAAUACCGAAUAGGACCCCUGACUGCAUGGUUGGGGGUGGAAAGCUUUUGCGGAGUGGGAUGGGCCCGCGGCCUAUCAGCUUGUUGGUGGGGUAAUGGCCUACCAAGGCGACGACGGGUAGCCGGCCUGAGAGGGCGACCGGCCACACUGGGACUGAGACACGGCCCAG
rnacentral:rRNA from 1 species